AGAGUUUGAUCAUGGCUCAGAACGAACGCUGGCGGCGUGCCUAACACAUGCAAGUCGAACGAGAAAGGGACUUCGGUCCUGAGUAAAGUGGCGCACGGGUGAGUAACACGUAGGUAACCUGCCUCUAGGAUUGGGAUAACCUGUCGAAAGACGAGCUAAUACCAAAUAAGACCACAGUUUCCUCGGAAGCAGCGGUCAAAGGUAGCCUCUACAUGUAAGCUAUCGCUUAGAGCUGGGCCUGCGUACCAUUAGCUAGUUGGUAGGGUAACGGCCUACCAAGGCUAAGAUGGUUAGCUGGUCUGAGAGGAUGAUCAGCCACACUGGAACUGAGACACGGUCCAGACUCCUACGGGAGGCAGCAGUGGGGAAUAUUGCGCAAUGGGCGAAAGCCUGACGCAGCAACGCCGCGUGAGUGAUGAAGGCCUUCGGGUCGUAAAGCUCUGUCGGAGGGAACGAAUGCUCUUGAGGUUAACAGCCUUGGGAAGUGACGGUACCCUCAAAGGAAGCACCGGCUAACUCUGUGCCAGCAGCCGCGGUAAU
rnacentral:rRNA from 1 species